GAUGAACGCUGGCGGCGUGCCUAAUACAUGCAAGUCGAGCGAACAGACGAGGAGCUUGCUCCUUUGACGUUAGCGGCGGACGGGUGAGUAACACGUGGGUAACCUACCUAUAAGACUGGGAUAACUUCGGGAAACCGGAGCUAAUACCGGAUAAUAUUUCGAACCGCAUGGUUCGAUAGUGAAAGAUGGCUUUGCUAUCACUUAUAGAUGGACCUGCGCCGUAUUAGCUAGUUGGUAAGGUAACGGCUUACCAAGGCAACGAUACGUAGCCGACCUGAGAGGGUGAUCGGCCACACUGGAACUGAGACACGGUCCAGACUCCUACGGGAGGCAGCAGUAGGGAAUCUUCCGCAAUGGGCGAAAGCCUGACGGAGCAACGCCGCGUGAGUGAUGAAGGUCUUCGGAUCGUAAAACUCUGUUAUUAGGGAAGAACAAACGUGUAAGUAACUGUGCACGUCUUGACGGCACCUAAUCAGAAAGCCACGGCUAACUACGUG
rnacentral:rRNA from 1 species